GUAAAUGUACGAAAGCUUGGAUCCUCGAAUACGGAAAACCGGAAAUCUUUUCACCGUGGUCGUUUUUGUAUAAUAUGACGCGAAAGGACGCUCGUCUGCUGAUGUUUGAAAUGGUCAGACAGUUGAUACAAAGAACUUUGGUUUUUCAAACAGAUGGUUCAAAAAGCUAUUGUAAACAGAUAUACUGAAAUGGGUUACACUACCGAUUAACUGGAAGAAACCGGGGAACGAAACAUACAUUUUAAAAAGUCAUCGCAACAAAAGUGUAUCCGGAUAACUUUUUUGUACUUGUCCAAUGAAAGGUAAAUAUAAUCAUGCACAUUUUUAGGACGAUGUUAGACUAGUUUUAUACUUUCAUGAAAAAAUAUAUAGUCACUUUAUCCACGUCAUGCAUGUUAACCCCGAAAAUCAGUCAAAAAUUGACAAAAACGGAAGCAAGUCAGUUCGCCCCACUGGUAAAACGCCAAACGCCCCACUUUUUUUUAACAACACGGCCUGUUUUUUUAAAUUGCUCCACUCUUUUUAAGGGAGCUCAGUCUCAUUCAUCUACCAUUUGAAUUGUAUGGGAGAAAAUAGGGUGGUUGGGGGUUGGAUGAAAGUGAAAUAUCGAGGACGAGUUUUGAGUAAAAAUCUAAAAGCCAGGGCCCCCCCCCCCCCCAAAAAAAAAAAAGAGUAACGACAAUGCAGGAUAACAUUUUCAUCAUAGCCCCCCCCCUAAACCCUUGAAAAUCCAAGUGGGAACUACCUUACCAACUC
rnacentral:lncRNA from 1 species